rnacentral:rRNA from 1 species
GACGAACGCUGGCGGCAUGCCUUACACAUGCAAGUCGAACGGUAACGGGCCUUCGGGUGCCGACGAGUGGCGAACGGGUGAGUAAUACAUCGGAACGUGCCCGAUCGUGGGGGAUAACGAGGCGAAAGCUUUGCUAAUACCGCAUACGAUCUACGGAUGAAAGCAGGGGACCGCAAGGCCUUGCGCGGACGGAGCGGCCGAUGGCAGAUUAGGGAGUUGGUGGGAUAAAAGCUUACCAAGCCGACGAUCUGUAGCUGGACUGAGAGGAUGAUCAGCAACACUGGGACUGGGACACGGCCCAGACUCCUACGGGAGGCAGCAGUGGGGAAUUUUGGACAAUGGGCGCAAGCCUGAUCCAGCCAUGCCGCGUGCAGGAUGAAGGCCUUCGGGUUGUAAACUGCUUUUGUACGGAACGAGAAGCCUUCUUCUAAUACAGGAGGGUCAUGACGGUACCGUAAGAAUAAGCACCGGCUAACUACGUGCCAGCCGCCGCAGUAA